UGCGACGUUGCCUCUUUCUAUGGUUUUCACAGGCUUACAAAAAAGAAACAGGUAUUGACUGGAAAGUUCUCUCCCUGUUCUCUCAGCAAUGGCUGCUGAGCGUGGUGGCCUUAAGUGGCGUAAUGGUUUGUAUGAUUAGAUGAGAAAAUGGUACAUUACAUCAAGCAAAUAGUGCUGUUUUGGGGCCUCUUCCUAUCAAUGUUUAUUAUGAGUAUAGGAAUCGAAGUGAACUCUGGAGAUUGAAGAUAAACAAGUGAAGUGAUUGAAGUUCAUUUUGAUGCCACUGAAAAGCAAGUUGUUUCCCUCCUAUGGUGUUUUAUCUGUUAACUUUUCAUCUUGAAGGCUCUUGUAGUUAAUUAAGUUAAUUUUGGUGUUAGUGAAACAUUUGAUGAUUUUGAUGUCUUCGCCGUGUAAUUAAUUUUGACCAUGGAAAUGGGAUGUAACUAGAAAUUAAUUAUCAAGUCACUGAAACAACGAAUAGUCUGCAGUGGUAUCCCUCCUGGAUUUGGUUUACUCAUCACAUUUGUAGACUCCAGAAUGCUACUUUUUGCAGUUAAUUAAGAUUGACGAUAACAUCAAGAGUGGAAGGGUGUUCAUUUUGAUGUUACUGAAAAAGAACUUUAUCUGCCGUGUCGUUCUACCUGUUAACAUUUCUUAGAAAAUAUUGCAGUUAGGACAGUGGAUGUGCGUUUGGUCCUAAAGAAAGCAUGAAAGUGCCUUUUGUCCGUUGGAAAUGGAGGCAGUGUGCUCUUGCUAAGGGAAUGAUAUAUAUGAAAAUGAACCGAUUGUCCAAAUUAGAACGAAUUGGCGUUAAUUUUGGUGCUACUGAAACAUUCGAUGUUCUUGAUGUCUUCGCCUUGUAACAUUGUGCAGUUA
rnacentral:lncRNA from 1 species